ensembl:snRNA U1 U1 spliceosomal RNA
AUACUUAACUGGCAGAGGAGAUACCAUGAUUAUGAAUGUGGUUUCCCAGGGCAAGGCUUAUCCAUUGCAUUCCACAUGUACUGACACUGUGAUUCCCCCAAAUGUGGGAAACUUGACUGCAUAAUUUGUGCAAGUGUGGGACCUCAUUUGUGUUGCAGCACC